rnacentral:ncRNA from 1 species
GAGUCGGGAGCGCUGUCGAUUACGGUGCGUUGGGCGAUUGUUCCACCCGGCUUA